rnacentral:rRNA from 1 species
AGUGAACGCUGGCGGCGUGCCUAAUACAUGCAAGUCGAACGGAGUGCCACACGGGUGAGUAAUAUAUAGCUAAUCUGCCCCUUGCUGGAGGACAACAGCUAGAAAUGACUGCUAAUACUCCAUAGCAAGGGAUGAGACUAUAUCGUAUCAGCUAGUCGGUGGGUUAACGGCCUACCGUGGCUAUGACGCGUAACUGGUCUGAGAGGAUGAUCAGUCACAAUGGAACAGAGACACGGACCAAACUCCUACGAGAGACAGCAGUAGCAAAUAUUGCGCAAUGGGGGAUGCCCUAAGACAGCAACGCCGCGUGGAGGAUGACACUGUUCGGAGCGUAAACUCCUUUUGUUAGGGAAGCGGUACCUAACGAAUAAGCACGGGCUAACUCCGUGCCAGCAGCCGCGGUAAUUC